rnacentral:rRNA from 2 species
GGACUACAAGGGUUUCUAAUCCUGUUUGCUCCCCACGCUUUCGUGCCUGAACGUCGGUGCUGGACCAGGAAGCCGCUUUCGCCACUGGUGUUCCUUCCGAUAUCUACGCAUUUCACCGCUACACCGGAAAUUCCGCUUCCCUCUUCCGCACCCUAGCUAUGCAGUCUCGGAUGCCAUUCCCAGGUUGAGCCCGGGGCUUUCACAUCCGACUUACUUAACCGUCUACGCACGCUUUACGCCCAGUAAUUCCGAUUAACGCUUGCACCCUCUGUAUUACCGCGGCGGCUGGCAC